GACAGAGGGUGCAAACGUUGUUCGGAAUUACUGGGCGUAAAGCGCACGUAGGCGGACCAGCAAGUUAGGGGUGAAAUCCCGGGGCUCAACCCCGGAACUGCCUUUAAAACUGUUGGUCUGGAGGUCGAGAGAGGUGAGUGGAAUUCCGAGUGUAGAGGUGAAAUUCGUAGAUAUUCGGAGGAACACCAGUGGCGAAGGCGGCUCACUGGCUCGAUACUGACGCUGAGGUGCGAAAGCGUGGGGAGCAAACAGG
rnacentral:rRNA from 1 species